AUCACCCCACAGUUUCUGUGGUGCUUUUUCAUAAAUGUGAGCAUGAAGUUGUUCUGGCCAAUCUUCACAAAAGGAGGUUUAGUGCCCAUUUGCUUGUCCCCAAAGCAUCCUCCUCACUUGGUUUUGAAACUCAAAAGAAGGAAAGUAAAGCUUUAGUGAAAACAGAUGUGGAGCUUCAGCUGUGACUUGGGUUGAAGCCUCCUAUUGGGCCGUGUGGGUGGAGAGGAGCAGGGGGUGGGCAUCGGGAGGCGCUCUGCCCGAAGGGCGCUCCGUGGUUUGGUUUGGAGCAGUGCUGGGCUGGGCUUUGCACUUCCUGGAGAGAUUCCUAGAGCCGGUUUCCGACAUACCUGGUGACCUGCUGCUGCUGCUAAGUUGCUUCAGUCGUACCCGACCCUGUGUGACCUCAGAGACGGCAGCCCACCAGGCUCCCCCGUCCCUGGGAUUUUCCAGGCAAGAACGCUGGAGUGGGCUGCCAUUUCCUUCUCCCGAGCAGGCGCGCGCCGGCCCCUCCCAUCCCGCGCUGAGCAGCCCGUCUGCCAGUAAGAGGCGACCCCACCCCCGAGACGCGCUCCAGCGGCAGCGCAGACGCGGUCCGGGUGAAAGGAGUGAGCCCGCGCGGGAUGACGCCGAGAAACCGACCAGCAGCGGGGUAGCCUCCUGGUGACGGGACCGCAGCGCUCACGAAGGUGUGCACACCAGGCCGCGGCGCAGGUGCCCGAAGCAAAGGCUGGCGGGUGCCGGGAAGAGCCGAGUGCAUUCCGGGAGCAAGCGCUCCUGCUCAGAGGCGGAGACAAACAGUGAAGUGGACACGCAGCGUGGGCCUUGGACAGUGUCUGGUGUGAGUGCCCGCCAGAGCAGAGACCUGCGCCUGCUGUGCGCUGUCCGUGGGGGACCCGCCUCGUGCCCGCAGGUGCAGACAGGCUGAGACACAACUCAGGUACCUCUGCGAGCAGCAUCCUCCCCGCAGCAGGCGCCCGUGCACCCAGAGGGCAGGGCCCCUUCUGGACGGUUCAAGUCGGCUUGUCAGACACAGUCGUUAGUGCAGACGCCCUCAAGCGCGUCAGGCCAAAACCACAGAGUUUUAAAAGGAAUCAUCCCUUCAGCACUUAUAUGGACGUUCACUGUUGGUGAUUGAUGGAACUACUAGGCAAGUGACACUAGGGUCAGCACCACUUACCUGAUAAGCACUGUGCCCCCCGCAGUGGCGGGGCGCAGAGGGGCUUCCCAAGGUCAGCUCGGACAUUCUGUGAAGAGGACCUUGCAGUGGGGUGUGAGACAGGCCCUGACACUUGGGAAGAACUGUUUACACGGAGGGUAUUUUGGGGCCAAAGUGGAAUUAAGUUGGAAAUCAGCAACAGAAAAAAAAAAAAAAAAAUAUUUGAAAACACAAUUAUAACUACCUUAUGGAUCAAAGGAAAAACACAAAGCCUUUGACCGUGUGGAUCACAACAAACUGUGGAAAAUUCUUCAAGAGAUGGGAAUGCCAGACCACCUUACUUGUCUCGUGAGAAACCUGUAUGCAAGUCCAGAAGCAACAGUUAGAACUGGACAUAAAACAAUGGACUGGCUCAAAAUUGGGAAAGGAGUACAUCAAGGCUGUAUAUUGUUACCCUGCUUAUUUAACUUCUGUGCAGAGUACAUUAUGUGAAAUGCCGGGCUGGAUG
ensembl:lncRNA